CAACGAAGGAAGCAUGAUAAUGUGCACAGAAAUUGAAUUGGGCCUCUGGGCCUGCCCUCUCUAAUGCCAUUUGGCUUUAAUUUGGGGACAUGGUUCCGCGGCAAAAUA